rnacentral:rRNA from 1 species
GCGCAGCAGUCGAGAAACUUUACAAUGUGCGAAAGCACGAUAAGGGAACUCUGAGUGCCUCCUAAGGAGGCUGUUCAGGUGUCUAAAAGCACCUGAAGGAAGGGCUGGGUAAGACCGGUGCCAGCCGCCGCGGUAACACCGGCAGCCCAAGUGGUAGCCACGUUUAUUGGGUCUAAAGCGUCCGUAGCCGGCUGGGUAAGUUCCUUGGGAAAUUUGGCUGCUUAACAGUCAAGCUUUCAGGGAAUACUGCCCGGCUUGGGGACCGGGAGAGGUCAGAGGUACUCCAGGGGUAGGGUGAAAUCCAUUAAUCCUUGGGGGACCACCGGUAGCGAAGGCGUCUGACCAGACCGGGUCCGACGGUGAGGGACGAAGGCUA